GCUCAGGGUGUCGAGGUUGUCGUGCUCCGUUGUAGGUUCAGCUGGCGGUAGUUGGGUUGCUAGCUGCUGCCGGUGCAAUCCUCAGCGGAGUUUGACCGUCAGUUGGGAAGAGAUUGGGUCCUGUUAAAUCGGUGGUCGGGAGGUAAGCCUUGCGGUUCACUUGUGGUUCCCGGGGUGACGUAUAGCCGCUCCACCGUGGUCUCGAUCGUCUUUCAGGUGCGUUUGGAUGUCUUUUCGUCCGGAAUGGGAAGGUGCAGACUCCUCGGAGUUCGGGCCAGUUGCGGAGUUGCUGUGCCGUGCUGAGAUYGUGUUCCGUGCCCUUUCCGUUAUGUUUCGGCGUGCGGGGAGGUGUACGGCACGUCCGGUACGUGUUGUGGUCUCUCGUGGCUGCGUUCCAAGUUCUGUGCC
rnacentral:rRNA from 1 species